rnacentral:rRNA from 1 species
GCAGCCUGAUGCAGNACGCCGCGUGAGGGANGAAGGCCUUCGGGUUGUAAACCUCUUUUAGCAGGGAAGAAGCGAAAGUGACGGUACCUGCAGAAAAAGCACCGGCUAACUACGUGCCAGCAGCCGCGGUAAUACGUAGGGUGCAAGCGUUGUCCGGAAUUAUUGGGCGUAAAGAGCUCGUAGGCGGUUUGUCACGUCUGCUGUGAAAAUCCAAGGCUCAACCUUGGACUUGCAGUGGGUACGGGCAGGCUAGAGUGCGGUAGGGGAGAUGGGAAUUCCUGGUGUAGCGGUGGAAUGCGCAGAUAUCAGGAGGAACACCAAUGGCGAAGGCACAUCUCUGGGCCGUAACUGACGCUGAGGAGCGAAAGCGUGGGGAGCGAACAGGAUUAGAUACCCUGGUAGUCCACGCCGUAAACGGUGGGUGCUAGCUGUGGGCCACAUUCCACGUGGUCCGUGACGAAGUUAACACAUUAAGCACCCCGCCUGGGGNNAGUACGGA